CUCAAUAUAAUGCCGCCUCCCAAGCAGAAUUCAACCCCAAAUACUAUAAUACAGGCUGGAUAAGGCAGAGUAAGUUGAUAGAAUGUAAUGGCUAUUACAUACAUGGGCAAUAUUAUGAUAUAACAGUUCAAUAGAAAUAAAGUUACUUAUAUCUCUCACAAUUGGAGUAACAAGUUGUAUGAUCCAACAAAACAUACAACUCUAUCCCACGUACCACAACUCAGCCAAAAAAAUAUUUCCAGAGGUUCCAACGAAAAAAUGCAGCUGAAUUGAGGUCUUGAAUCCAAAAUCAUGCUCACUUGUGCCCGCGGAAGUAUAGGUAGACUUUCUGCAGUGACAGUACACAAACAAUGUGAGAAGCAAAUGAAAUUAACAAAGAAAUAGUUAGCGGCCAACAACAUUUUCCCCCUUCUUAAUCAAUUGUCAAAUGACAUAAUUGUAUACGGAUUUGAAGCAAUUCAUACGAGUAUGAUCUAUUGAACUAAGUUGGAAGCAGAACAUUGACAUAUGAAGAACUAACACCAGUGAAAUUUAAUUUUUUCCGUAUGACCUAUAUGAAUGAACUUCGAUUUGUAUUCAUGUUGUUUCGAAAAUCAAUGAUGCAAAAGUUGCCUGCUGCUGCAGACAACUACAAAUACUGAGUUUUUUUUAUUAGGACCUACAACUACAAAUAUUGAGUUUUUAAAGUAAACAUCAGUAUAUGUAAUUAAAAUUUGCCAAUUCUUGACACUAAGUUUCUUUUUACCCCCAGUUAAUGUUGUAUCACUUUUCAUUGUUAACUAGCAUCGUAUCACUUUUUAUUGUUAACAAGCAUCUAUAAUAUCUAAUUAUCUAACACAUUCAACAAGAGUUCAACAAAAGCCCCACCCUGCCAUUUGCUAUCUUGAGUUUCUGGAUACAUUAAACUCCUAUACAAGUCGGGGCUUCCACUCCGUCCUAAGACUGAUCAAAGAAGAGUGAAGAACCUCUCAUCGUUUUUGGAAUUCGACAAAGGAACGGGAUUUCACACCAUCAACCGACACUAACCGCACAUACCCCAAAAAGAAAGAACCUCUCAUUCGUUUUUGGAAUUCAACAAAGGAGAGGGAUUUCACACCAUCAACCAACACUAACCGCACAUACCCCAAAAAGAAGAGACGAAGUUUUAAUCAUAGAAACAACUCCCAAGAAAACCCACCUUCUCCAUCCAGAGGAAAGCGACAAACAUAUGUUUAAUGUGAAACUCUUUUUUCUUUAUGCUUCCAGAUUGAAGGACAUUCCAAGAAACUUUUGGAAUCAAGCCCACAAGUCAAAGAAAGCAAGUGAAAAAUAAAAAGAAGUGCAAAAAGAAAUAAGGCCAUUCGGAACAAACCCAAAAAGAAGAUUGUGGUCAAAGUUUACGAAGUUGAUGCGCAGACAGUUGAUUUGCAAAAUAAGAAUGCCAAUUCUGUAAAUGCUAACCUGCAAUACCCACAAGCUUAGCAAAACUUCCAAGCAAAAAAACCCAAAUCCAAUCAGAUAAAAGAAAAAAAAGUGCAAAAAGAAAUAAGGCCAUUCGGAACAAACCCAAAAAGAAGAUUGUGGUCAAAGUUUACGAAGUUGAUGCGCAGACAGUUGAUUUGCAAAAUAAGAAUGCCAAUUCUGUAAAUGCUAACCUGCAAUACCCACAAGCUUAGCAAAACUUCCAAGCAAAAAAACCCAAAUCCAAUCAGAUAAAAGACCUGCAAGAAAAGGAGAAGUGAGAACAUCGUAUAAAGAGCAAAUCAGAAGCUUGAUAAAAAGAUAUUAUCACAUAAUCAUAAUUUUCUGUAGUUUCGAGAUUCAGUUAUCUAUAGAGAGUUAUACCCCUUUUAAAUCAGAACAUACAACUAGUGUGCCGUACAUUUACAAGUUAAGUCACUGUAAGGUUCAAGAAAUGAAAGGCAGUAAAGUUGAAAUCUACUUCUACCUGCUAAACUGAUCAAUGAGAAACCAUUGGAAGAUUUUCUGCAUUUCCCAGUCAUUUUCCAAAUAUACAGGAACACAAUUACCUUAAUUUUGAGAAUAAGCAUAAAAAGAUUGUCAAGCUGGCAAAACGAUGAGGUGCUUUGAAGGCUGAUAUGUGUUAAAGGAGUGGCAAGACCAAGGUGCAAAAUGUACAUAUACAAAGAGGAAUAAGAACAAAUGACAAGAAGUGCUGAGGAUUGGAAACAGCAGACUUAGAGGAGCCACUUGGUAAUCAAACAGUGACUUGCCUUAAGUGGAAUAAUAUACUUUUACCCUGUUUGUUAGCAUUUUUAACUGGACUAAAUUAAUGCUAAUUGCUACCUAUGUAUGUAACUAGAGACGAAAGAUCAUAUAAGACUUACACGGUCUUAUUCAUAUCAUAAACAUCCCUAUAUCAAAGAAGUAGCAGCAUGAGACUGAUUCUCAAGAAAAACAUAAUCAAAGAACCAUAGAAAUGUCAAUAAAUUGGUUCAAUCUUUUAAUCUUCCCAAAAGAAAAAGAGUGAGAAGUAGAUAACUUACCCCAACCAAGAGAUGGUCAGAGAAGACAUCAAUUGCCGCAAGUAUGCCCCUGGAAUGAGUUAAAAGGGAGCAGAUAUAAAUGUCAAUGAUAAUCCAAGAACGUUAAAGUGCUAGCACACCACACUGAUAAGGAGGCACCAAUACUUCACAUUUUCCCUUUUCAUGAACUGAGAAGAGCAUCUCUACAAUAUGAAUUUUAGACGAGAAAACAAGAGAAACAAGAGAACCAAGAGUUACAUGUGUAUGUAUACAAGCAAGUGAAUUCUAUUAAUUCCAUCUCAAGAACACAUCUAAAGGAAGGGCAACCAGCAAUAUAAGGGACCAGUGUUAUAAUAUCCAUCAAAUGCAGGAUCCAUUAGUCAUGAAAGUAAGCAUGCACUUCUUUUCAGAGCAGGCAGAGGUUUUUGGGUUUCAUGUUUCAUUAUUUAUAAGUUUUACAGCACACACACACUUCUAAACUUCAACUUUAAAAGUAAGCAUGCACUUCUUUUCAGUGCAGGCAGAGGUUUUUGGGUUUCAUAUUUCAUUAUUUAUAAGUUUUACAGCACACCCACACUUCUAAACUUCAACUUUAAAUGCUAGUAUAAUUUUCAACACUUCUGUAAAAUUUGUGGAAAGGGUAUAUUCAUAAAGGUACUAGGCUAAGAAUUAUAACCUCAUACACGAAACAACUUACUAGAAGAAGCACAUUGACUAAGACUGUUGCAUUUCAUAGUAAAAAGUUAAUUCAUCUCACUAAGAAUCAUAAAAGCAAAACUUACGUUAAGGAUCUUCCGUGAAAGAUAAUGGGAGGAGCAAUAGCAGCAAGUAUGCAAAAUCCAAUGUGGAGCUGCACAUAAAGUCAAAUUUUACAGAAACUUAAACCUGGGAUAUAAUUAGAAAACAUAUUAUCACUUUGUCAGUACAACAUACCAUGUAGAACAUGAAAAACCAACCAAAUUUUAGUGCACUCUCCGUCCUGCAAAUCCAAACAUAAGUGAGCACAAAAUGAGUCAUCGUAAUAGAGCAUUGAAAAUAGAAUAGAACAAUAAGAAGGAAUCCUUUCAUGCGAUAAGAGGGGAUGAAUUAACAAUAAAAGAUUGUAUACCUCAUCGCAUUAUAAAGGGGUCUAUACCACAAUACAUACGAAAGGGGGCAUCCAAGUAAAGCAUAUAUUACAGCAAGCAAGAAAAUUUUGACACCUAAGGAAAGCAAAGACUAAAUAAGGUCAGAAGCAAUGUAAUGAAUGAAAACAACUAAAAAACAAUGCCAUAGAAAAUGAAACUAACCACCAUCUCUUAUCCAACAAACAGUGACAGCAAUAACAUUGAACACAAGGCAAAGCACGAUACCUGUAGAAAAAGUUCAUUACAAAGCAUGGAGAUGAUGAAAGAUGAAGACUUGUCCAUAUAGCACUUGAAAGAAAACGUUACAAGUAGGACAAAGGACAAAAGAUUAAGUCUUAUGGCCACAAGAAAAGAUUUUUCUCCAAUUCUUUUCCACCAUAGAUAUAAAAACCUCAUCAUAAAACAAGGAAUCAAGGUUGACUAAUUUGAUUUCAUCCUACUCUAGAUAUGUUUCUUAUUUGAAUCGGGAAUCUCGUGUAAAGUCAAUGAGGAAAACUGCAUAGGGUCUUGACAUAUAGCUUCCCGGUCGGUAAAGGGGUUAAGUAGUAUCCAUUGAUAGUGACGAAAAAUUCUCUUUAUGUUGAACAAACUUCAGAGCUGGAUUGUUGGAUUUGGGGAAAAGAAUCUAACUGAACUCAACAGAACCUAAUGCUCCUCAUGUCCUAAAGCUAUUAGCCUUUUGGCCUGAUGACAAAGAUGACAAGACAGAACAAGUUAAACUAAAUCUGGUACCAUUUUUAGUAAUGCCACAAAAGCUCUAAACUGCAGAAGCGGAGCAAGAAUUUCAAGCUUAUGGGUUCAGAAUUCUAAGUCUUAAGUUACUGGGUUCUAAAUUAAUAAUUUGUACGUAAUCAGCACAAUUUUUAAGAAAAAUACAAGGUUUGAACCAAAGCUACUAGGUUCGCCGAACCCGCAGUCAGAACACUAGCUCCGCCCCUGCUGAACUGCAUAUGUUACAUGACAUCAGUUCCUCUCCCAAAACAAGAGAAGAGUAAAGUUGUCCAUCCUCUCCAUUCCUUUUUUUAAAAUAGCCUCGUUGCCAUUCUACUUGCUGCAUCCAAACCUUUCCAUAAGCUUGGGCUAAAAUGCAGCAAGAUUGACAUUCCAAUCUUUUCGUCUUUUACGUUAAAAUAGCCUCGUUGCCAUUCUACUUUCUGCACUAACUUGCUGCAUGCAAACCUUCCCAUAAGCUUGGGCUAAAAUGCAGCAAGAUUGACAUUCCAAUCUUUUCGUCUUUUAAGUUUUAAGUAAAAGCACAAAACUUAGAAGACCCUUAGUAAUAAUCACCCCGCACUAUCAAUUUAGGAAAAAAAAAAAAAGAGCCGAAAUUGGUGUAAAAUCUUCAUGUUAAAAGUCCAAUGUUGUGCCAAAUAAAAGGACAUCGAAAAAUGUGAAUGUUUGCAACAUCUAAUUAAACCCUAAAAAACAGAAUAAGUAACUUCUAACAUACAAACGAACAGUCCUCUACAAGAGAGUGAACAGAUGCGAAGAACUGCAAAGGAGCACACCUAGCCAACUUGCAAAAGCCAAAUACUGCAUCCUUUGAGCAUGAACUGGUAUUUCAUUUGCUAUAUCGUGAUGAAUAAUUGGAAAAAAUGGCGGCCAGUUCUUAUCAUUGGUUGGAACACCAACUAAAUUGAACAUAGAAAAAAAAAACGAAUAUCAGCAUGUAAGAGAGAAAAUGUGCAAGAUAAUUUCAGCACUCUCUCACAAGUCAUAUUUACCGCUAGCAACAGCUGGAACACCAGCUAAAUUGAACAUAGAAAAAAAAAACGAAUAUCAGCAUGUAAGAGAGAAAAUGUGCAAGAUAAUUUCAGCACUCUCUCACAAGUCAUAUUUACCGCUAGCAACAGCAUCUUCUCUUCGUUUUAUCUCCUGCAAAACCAGCAGUUCAUGAGCGCAUGCAUAAGCCACAAGAUGAUAUGCAAAGCAAAAUAGACUAGAGAACACUAGAUAGGUUGAGGGGAUUUGCCAUGGUUUGAAAACAUGCAGAAAAUAAGUAACUCAAACAGGAUUUUCAAGAGCAUUUCCAUACUUAGGAGUUAGGAGUAGUACACAAUUGGGAAACAAUAAGGAAAUAAAACUUUACAAGAUUUACAUUGCACACAACAAUUUUGGCUCAGAAGUCAGAAACCAAGAUUUACAUUGCACACAAGAAUUUUGGCUGAGAAGUCAAAAACCAACCCUUUCUUUUCUUUCCAGAUUUUCUGCCCAAGCUGCUAGUUCCUUUUGCCUUUUCUUGGGAUCCUGAUUCACAAUUCAUGAGAAAUGAUUCAGAAAAUCCAAUGCUCUAUGGUGAAAUGCAAAGGUACAGCUAUAAAAUCAUUACAUUCAUUGAAUCCAACGGAAUAUCAACAGUGGCAUCAUUCUUUUGGCCAAAACCAAGAGUGCUAGCAAUCAUCUGAGGAAAGCGUGAUUUAGUUGCAGGAGCAGAUCCACCAUUCUGCAAGAAGAAACAAAUGAGAAAUGGGCGGAAUUUCGCAUUUCAUUACCAUACCGAAAAUCACCAGUGUGUGCAUAACUAUAAGUGUGUAACAAAUGCACAAGUUAAACAUGCAAGCAUUGCAUUCCUGGGCUCAAUUAGCUAUAAACCAAUGUUACAGUUUUUAUGCACCAUAAAGCAAUUGGCAGUUCAAUGAUAGUUCUAUGAAAAAUUAUAUUCAAUUGUUGUCUUCAUAUGGAAGCAGGGCACAGAGUCAUCCAAAGGAGAUUAAAGUUCAACUGGACAAGGUAGGGUAAUGACUUUUUUAUUAAGUGCAUGAUAGAUGAGAUUCGGGCAAGUUAGUAUCAGAUGUUAGGAUCAGAGAAGGAUUAAAGUAAGAAAAAAGGCUAAACUAUUUUUAGAUAAAAGUAUCCAAUGUUAGAAAUGUAAGAACUAGCACGCCUGAGAGAGGAGAGGGCUAACGACAGGUUAAGUGUAAUACGGAUAACUCUCAGCACAUGCUGAGAGGAGAUAAUGAGAGCAACAAAAGAUUAUCUUGAUCAAAUGUUCAACCCCAAUAAUGAGGGUACUUUAUAUACCUUUGCACAAUGGAAUAUUAAGUGUAUAGAAUUAGACUUGUAAAGUUAAAGGUGCCAUGAAAAUAUGAGGACUAGAAAACCUGUGGUCUCGAUGGUAUCUCCAUGGAAGUUUGGAGGUGUCUUGGAGAGGUUGGAGCAGCAUGGGUUAAUAAGCUAUUUAAUGUUAUGUUAAGAGUAGAAGGAUGCCAAACGAGUGAGGAAGAAGUAUCCUGAUUCCAACAUAUAAGAAGAAAGGAGAUACUCAAAGUCCUGCGAACUAUAGUGCCAUCAAGCUUAUGAUUCAAAAAGCUUCUUGCUUUAAAGAACCCCUCAUUUACCUUAGAAAAAAUAUAUUUUUAGUAUUAAAAUGAAAUGGAGUCCAAGAGCGGAAUGGAUAUUGAGAAUGUAUAAUCGCCCCCAACUAGUUUAGAUGGAAGCUGAUUGCUUGACUAAACUAAGAAUUACUUACAAAAAAAUAAAUGACUUUAUAAAUGAGAUUUUUCUAUUUUAAUGUUUUUUGAAAUAUAGAUAUCCACCUCAAUUAUUAUUAAAAUUAAUUAAACAUAAAGCUAGAAUCACUUUGCAAUGUAUUUAAUGUAUUCUCGUAAUAUUUCACCUCAUCCAAACUUCAAAUUUGCUGUAAUGCAAUAUAAUCUUACUUUACAAAAAUGAGAAAUUUACUGACAAGGAUAUCCUCAUUCGCCAUUCCCAUGAACGUAGGACUCAAGGAACAACAAAAAAAAGGAUCUUUACAGUAAUAGCCCGCUGGAUUCACAGUUUAUUUUUCUAGCCAGUAUACACAAAUUAUACUCCAUUUAUACAAGAUUAUACACAUAUUAUACAUUUAACCGAUUGGAUAGGCAGCUAUUUAGCUUAAUUCUUCACCCGCAAAAAAUUACUCGAAACAAGAAUGCUGCUUUAUAACUAAAAUUAUAUUUUUAUUAAACUUGAAUUGCACAGAUCUAGAUCAAGACAAAGGCCUAAACUUAAUACCCCACAUUGAACACGUACCAAAUAAACACCAAAAAUUACGCUAAAAAAAAGAGAGAGAGAAACUGAAAAAUAGUUAGAUCUAAUCCAACGAGGAAAAUGAGAGAUUACCGAAAAUGGAUUAAUUUGUGGUUCCUCUUCAUCAAAGGGAUUUGGAUCAUUUCCUCUACUCAUUGUCUCUUUUACUCUCUACCUUUCAAUGCCCCAAAAAAAUUGCAGAUAAUACUUCCGAAAUUGAGGCAAGAAUUAUAAAUCCGUAUCUGAUUCUGCUCUCUACCUUUCAACGCCCAUAAAAUUUGCAGAUAAUAUUUCCGAAAUUGAAGUAAGAAUUGUAAAAUCCGUAUCUGAUUCUGUAAAUAUAUAUAAAAGAGAGUAAAAGGUGUGGAAAGAUAGUGACAGAAGUGUUCAGUAGAGCAGCAAUCCGACACGUGUAUUUUCCUCGUACUUCACCUUCCUCUCUUUGGACUCUUUGGGGUUGUUUGAGAAAGGGCGUUCAAAACCGAUCCGAAAUCGAAAAGCGAUCAAAAAUCGAAAUUUAAUGAUUUAUUAGUAACGACUUAACGGUUAGUGGAGGGGAAAGAAUUAAAUUUUUUUAUUAACGACUUAACGAUUUGGGGACGAAUUAUUUAAUUUUCUUAACGGAUAACCCGCUAACCCGUUAAGAAUAUAUAUAUAUAUAUAUAUAUAUAAAAUUUAUUGAUGUUUAUAUAUAUUAAAUAUAAAAAAACUAAAACCCUUGAAAAUGAUUAACAAAAGUUUAUUUCUACUUCUAAGCGUUUUUAAUCUCGGGAUCUAGAUGAUUUGCAGGUACUCGCCCAACAUAAAGGGGAUGAAGGUGCUGGACAAGAAAAAAGUGAGGAGGGCAAAGCUAUAUAUACUACCUCAGGGAUAAAAUGAAUGCCCUGAAAAAACAUUAACAAGCUAGCUCAUAUGAAGGUAUACUGGAAUAGGUGUUUGAUCUAUAAUUUCCUNNNNNNNNNNNNNNNNNNNNNNNNNNNNNNNNNNNNNNNNNNNNNNNNNNNNNNNNNNNNNNNNNNNNNNNNNNNNNNNNNNNNNNNNNNNNNNNNNNNNNNNNNNNNNNNNNNNNNNNNNNNNNNNNNNNNNNNNNNNNNNNNNNNNNNNNNNNNNNNNUAUAUAUAUAUAUUUUUCACUUUCCAAAAUUCCAGUAAUCUUUAUCUACUUAUCUAGUGUGAAUUGUCUAUUAUAUUUGUCUAAGUCCUCUAAGGCAGUAAGUAAGACUAACAAUCCUCUUUUAUUGAAUUAACCCAUUAAGGCUUCGAAUUCUAAUUUGUUUGAUACUAAUAAUUUAUACUUACUUGGCAUUUGUUUGAUACUAAUAAUUGAGUUCUUCUCUCCACGCAUGGAUGAAGUGUUUUUGUUAAAAUAAAUAUAGGAAGCUACAAAAGUACAAAAAAAAAAAAGCUAAAAUCCUGCUCAAACUCGAAAGGGUUCUCUGCUCAAGAUUGCAUUGAAGUCUAAAAGUUAGAUUUAUGAAUUAUGACUGAAAAAUAAGACAUUUCUUUGCUUGCUGUUGUAUUAAUACGUAUGCUUAGUGCUUACUCUUGUAUUAAUUUGUUUGUAUCUAGUGCUUGAUCUUAUGGAGUUUUAUUGUUUUGUAGCACUUAUAUUUUAUUAUAUUUUCAAGCAGUCAAUUGCGAUGGAUUUGAGUAUCUGUUUGGCAUCACAGGUUGUGAUAGUUGAGCAGUAGUUGAACUGCUAUAGUGUCAUACAUCUUCUGGUAUACACUACACAAUAUAAACUUAAUUAGGCCGAUAACCGCCCGAUUACCACCCGUUAAGAGCUAAAACGUUACCAAUCCGCCCGAUAUCUUAUCGGAUAUCUAACGGAUUAAUACAUUUAAAAGCCGAAAACCGUUAAGCCAAACAGUUAAGAGUAAAUAACCGCCCGAUAAGCAGCCCUAGUUUGAUAGGGUGUAUAAGAUAGUGUUGAAUAAGCUCUAUUAGUAAUGCUAAUGCAUGUGUUAGUAAUACAAGCAUAAGUUAUGAAUAUACUCCCUCCGGUUCAUAUUAAGUAUCUCUUUUACUUUUAGCACGCCCAUUAAGAAAAAUACUAAAUCCUAUGGUCAAUUAGUCUAGCGAUGUACGCUCUAUACCAAACGCUCCCUCCUUCCCCAUCCCCAAUGGUCAAAACCAGAUCACCCCACCCCCACGGCCAAACCCCCACCACCACCCCACUGUACAGCGGCAUCCACCUCACGCCGACGACCUUCUGCAGAAUUUUCUUCUUCUCCGGCGAAGAAGACCCAAGUUUAUAUAUUUCUUUCCUCUUGUUUUUCUUCUUCUCCUUAACUUGAUUUUCUUAUAUAGUAUCAGGUUCAUGUAUUUUCUUUACAUAUUGAGAUUUUCGACUGGUCAUACUAUAGACUAACAACUAAAUUGAAGUAGUUCUUUUGUAGAGUUUCCAAAGUUGGUUGUAGGUCUAAUUGAUUUUUUUAUGGUUAUACUCUUUUCUUGUCUUACUUCAUAAUUUUUGCUUCUUCCGAUUCUGCAGUUUUAAUCUAAGCUCUCUUACCUUUCAUUCACUCCUUUUACCCCUUGGAUACGAUCUCCCGUUCAGUUUCUCCUGCUUGCUAUUUCAAUUUCUCUAUUUCAGUUGUAGAUCUAAUUUGGGUCUUGGUAAUUUGUCUUUUUUGCUUCUCUAAAAGCUUUUUUACUUUACAUGUUUCUUCAUUGUACUUGGUGAAUUUUGUGUAGUACUAUGUUUUCCCCUACAUUUCCCCUACUAUUGUCAGGGCUACACCAGUGGUAGCAGUGACAGCCCUUUUGGUUUUUUGGAUCAUUGUAUUUCUGUGUUUCCAGGGAAAUUCUCGAACUUGUUGAAGAAAAGUUGGGCGCACAAACACUAGCAAAGGAGAGCAUCCGGGAAAAGCGACAUCAAAGGGCGGCAGGAAGCGGUGGGUGAGUGUACAACUACAUCAAGUACUGCAAGUCAACACAGGUUUGGUUAUCGGGAGUUAGUACCUCCCGUUCUACGGUUUCCCUUUUGGUGUUAGCUAAUAUAAUGUUUACUUUAGUUCACAAUAGUUCAGUCAUUCUACUUGUGUAUUUGUAGUCUCUUGCUUCCUUCUAGUUUGAUUCGUUGUCUAUUGUGAACUAGCGAAUCUUCUUUAGAUUGGCCGUAGGUGUAGUGGCUGCAGUCUGGAAUGAUAGAUUAAGGGCAUGUCCUCGUGUGGGGGCAGAGUGUGGGGCUGGGGGUCAGGGUGUGCGACGGGAGGCAAUGGAGGUAGAGGGGGCAAGGGAGCCUAUAGGUUGAGAAUUGGUUCAUGAAACAUAGGUUCGCUAACGAGUAAGUCCUUAGAGUUGGCGAAGAUCCUUCGGAAGAGAAAGAUUAAUAUAGCGUGUGUCCAGGAGACUAGGUGGGUUGGAUCGAGGGCGAAAAACGUGGAUGGGUAUAAGCUGUGGUACUUUGGAGUCUUGAGGAGUAAGAACGGAGUGGGUAUUCUAGUAGAUAGCCACCUUAGAGAGUCGAUGGUUGAGGUCAGGCGGGUGAAUGAUAGACUAAUGACCAUUAAAUUGGUGGUGGGUGAGUGUACCUUAAAUGUCGUUAGCGCGUAUGCACCGCAAGUAGGCUUGGAUGAGGAGAUUAAAAGGCGCUUUUGGGAGGGGUUAGAUGACAUUUUUCGAAGCAUUUCGCUUUCCGAGAAAUUAUUUAUAGAAGGAGAUUUUAAUGGUCAUAUUGGAGCGUCUGUAGGUGGUUUUACUAAGGUACAUGGAGGCUUUGGUUUCGGGGAGCAGAACGUAGGAGGCACUUCGCUGUUGGACUUUGCCAAGGCAUUCGAUCUAAUGAUUGAAAACUCUAAUUUUCCUAAGCGGGAGGAGAUUUUGGUUACUUACCAAAGUUCGGUGGUUAAGACUCAGAUCGACUAUGUCCUUCCCAGGAGAUGCGACAGAAGGUUGUGCGAGGAUUCCAAAGUUAUCCCAGGUGAGACCCUUGCGAAGAAACAUAGGCUUUUGGUGAUGGACAUUGGCAUUAUGAUAAGGAGGAAGAAGAGGUCAAUACGAGGCCACACGAGGAUUAGAUGGGGCGCGUUGGCUGAGGAUAAAGCUCAAGAUUUGAUAGGAAUGUUAUCGGCAAUGGGAGCUUGGAGAAUUAGUGGGAUGCAAAUACUAUGUGGUCGACGACGACAGACUGUAUAAGGAAGGCGGCGAGAGAGGUGUUAGGGAUAUCUUCGGGAAGCACUGGUGGCCACGAAGGAUAUUGGUGGUGGAAUGCAGUUGUCGAAGGUAAUGUGGAAGCAAAGAAGGCGGCUUACCUGUGGUUAGUAUGGAGCACUGGGGAGGAGGAGAAGAGAGCAAACAGUGAGAGAUAUAAGGUUGCUAGGAGGGAUGCAAGAUGGAAGUUACGGAGGCUAAGGCGGCAGCUUUUGCUCCUCUGUAUGAGGAGAUAAGGAUUAAAGGUAGGGAGAAGAAGUUAUUCCGACUCGCUAAGGUGAGAGAGAGGACGACCCGGGAUCUGGACCAAGUGAGCAUAAAAGAUGAUAACGGCAAAGUUUUGAUGGGGGUUGACCAGAUUAAAAAGAGAUGGCAGACCUACUUUCAUAAACUUCUGAUUGGAGAAGAGGAUCAGGAUAUUGUACUAGGGGAUUUUCAACUUGUCGACAGCUCACAUGAGAUAAGUGAUUAUAUAGACAUUGAGGUCGAUGAGUUCAUGGAGGCAAUGCGUAAAAUGAGGAGGGGCAGAGCUACCGGGCCAGAUGAAAUUUCGGUUGAACUUUGGAGGUGUAUGGGCAGAGCAGGCUUGGAAUGGCUUACUGGGUUGUUUAAUGUUAUAUUCAAGACUAAUAUGAUGCCUGAAGAGUUGAGGUGGAUUACAAUGGUUCCAUUGUAUAAGAACAAAGUCGACAUCCAGAGCUGUAACAACUAUAGGGGUAUCAAAUUACUGAGUCAUACCAUGAAAGUCUGGGAGAGAGUGGUAGAAAUAAGAGUGCGAAGGACAGUGUCUAUUUCCGAAAACCAGUUUGGAUUCAUGCCAGGGCGAUCUGCCACAGAAGCUAUCCACUUAUUAGGAGGAUGUUGUAACACAGUGAUAAGAAAAAGGAUCUCCAUAUGGUGUUUAUCGAUCUAGAAAAAGCAUACGACAUGGUUCCCAGGGAGGUCUUAUGGAGAUGCUUAGAGGUUAAGGGGUACCGGAUGCCUAUAUUAGGGUGAUUAAAGACAUGUAUGAUGGAGCUAAGGCUCGGGUUAGGACAUUAGGAGGCGAAUCCGAGCAUUUUCCAGUUGUUACGGGAUUGCAACAAGGGUCUGCGUUCAGCCCUUUCCUAUUUGCCCUGUUGAUAGAUGCUAUAACAUAUAAUAUUCAAGGGGUGGUGCCAUGGUGUAUGCUAUUUGCUGAUGAUAUAUUCCUAAUUGACGAGACAAGACGCGGCGUCAAUGAGAGGCUAGAGGUUUGGAGAGAUGCCCUUGAGUCUAAAGGUUUCAGGUUGAGCAGGACGAAGACGGAAUAUAUCGAGUGCAAAUUUGGGCCCGAGCAAACGGAUGCGGGAGUGGAAGUAAGGCUUGAUUCUCAAGUCAUCCCUCAGAAGGGUAGUUUCAAGUACCUUGGGACAGUUAUUCAAGGGACAGGGGAGAUCGACGAGGAUAUCACACACCGUAUAGGGGUAGGGUGGAUGAACUGGAGGUUAGCAACAGGAGUCCUGUGUGACAAGAAAAUGUCACCAUACAAAAGGUAAGUUUUAUAGAGCAGUGGUUAGACCGGCCAUGUUGUACAGGACCGAGUGUUGGCCGGUUAAAAACUACAUAUCCAGAAGAUGCAAGUAGCGGAAAUGAGGAUGUUGAGGUGGAUGUGUGGUCAUACGAGGAUGGAUAAGAUUAGGAAUGAAGUUAUUCGAGAGAGGGUGGGCGUGGUGCCCAUGGAGGACAAGAUACGGGAAGCAAGACUCAGAUGGUUCGGGCACGUUCAGAGAAGGAGCCCUGAUGCACCGGUGAGAAGUUUUGAGAGACUAGCGGUGGUGGGCACGAGGAGAGGUAGAGGGAGACCUAAGAAGUAUCAGGAAGAGGUGAUCAGGCAGGAUAUGGCGCGACUUAGGAUUAGUGAGGACAUGGCCCUUGACAGGAGAUUGUGGAGGUCAAGCACUAAGGUUGUAGGUUAGGGGGAAGUUGGGAUAUUUCUACAGUGUACUAUAGUGAAACUAAACAGUUAGGAGUUAGGCUUAGGAUGCUACUGAUCAUCUACUGAUGCAGGGCUUUAUAUCCUAGAUAUUAGUAUACUUUCCUCUUUCUCGUAUUUCCUAUAUUCCUUAUAUUGUUGUUAUUUGUUAUUUGAUGUUAUUUUAUGUUGUCUGAUGCAGGGCUUUAUAUCCUAGAUAUUAGUAUACUUUCCUCUUUCUCGUAUUUCCUAUAUUCCUUAUAUUGUUGUUAUUCGUUAUUUGAUGUUAUUUUAUGUUAUUUGUCUAUUUUAAGUUAUUUUAUUAUGAGUCUAUUGCUAGUACUAAUAUAAUGUCACUUGUUUCUGUCACUUGUUUUCUUCUUGAGUCGAGGGUAUCCUGGAAACAGCCUCUCUGCCCCUCGAGGUAGGGGUAAGAUCUGCGUACAUAUUACCCUCCCCAGACCCCACUUGUGGGAGUAUACUAGGUUGUUGUUAUUGUAUACAAAAUUACCUAGUAUGACUAAACUACCCUUAUUAAAUAUAGGCCACAUGAUUAUAGUGGCAUUUAUUGCUCUUCUGCACAUAAGGGUAAAAGAGUGAAAAUAAAAUGAAUUAACUAGACACUUAUUUUGGACCAAAAUAAAAAAGUAAAAGAGACACUUAUUAUGAACCAGAGGGUGUAUUAUUUUUUAUUUAUUGUUUGGUGUGGUGUAUUAAAAUUAUAAUUCAUUGCAUAAUUUUUAAAAAAAAUAAUUGUUUACAAAAAUGUCGUCCAUAUUCUCUAGCUUUAAGGGAUUUUAAGGACAAUUUUGCUUUUAACCAUGCUAAUGCAUGCAUUAAUAGCCUUGGUAUAACUAAUGCCAUGGUUUUUUAUGCAUUACUUAUGCAUAGGACAAUGCAAAGUAUGAUGUAUAACUAAUACAAAUAUUAGUUAUACACAGGUUAAGAAAAUAUACCAAACAAGGUAUUAGUAAUGCAUAGAUCUAAUGCUUGCAUUAGUUUUUCUAAUACCUUCUACCAAACGACUUUGUGGGCAAAGUAAGUGUGUAUAUGGACCGGAUUAGUUCGAUUUAGGGGUGUGCAUUCGAUUUAUCGAUUCGAUUUUGACACUUAUCGAUAAUUACUUAUCGAUUAUCGAUUUGUACAUAUGCUUAUCGUUAUCGUUUCAAUAAAAUUUCGAUUUUUUCGAUUGUUCGAUUUAGGGGUGUGCAUUCGAUUUAUCGAUUCGAUUUUGACACUUAUCGAUAAUUACUUAUCGAUUAUCGAAGUUGAAGACGAAUAAGAAGAAAUAUGUAAUGGUGACUCAUGUGCGAGCCGACAUCGAGGUCCAACGUACCAUUGGACAGGUGGAAACCAAAGCUGCUAUGCCCCGGCCUAAUAAGAUCAAACUGGAAAGAGUUAAAAAUCCUCACCUCAAGGUGGGGAGGCCACCGAGGAGGCAGUCGAGGCUGGUGUAGAAACCGAGCUCGAGGCUCCCGAGAAUGAAGAUGAUGCCUCUAAAGACCCAUUUGGGGCAAUAGUGAUCGGGGACUCCUCCUCAUUACCUCUAGUUCCGGAUUCGAUGAUUCGUGACGCUCAGGCUGCAGAGACUUGUCACGAAGUGGGGGCCCAUAGAGAGGAAGAUUUUUUUCGUGGCUAUUUCACUAAUGUGGAAGGUGCCAAUGGUUUGGGUGAUUUUGACGUAGCUCGAAUGAGGCUUCCUCGAGCUAUACACUGAUCAACCAAUUUCUAGCCCCAGCGUUGACCCCGAUCGUAAGCGGCCUCUUAUCAUCUCGAUCCCGAAAGAUACUCAAGUUUUCUCUACCCCUGUAGGGGUGGCGAGCUAUCUUCGAUGCUUGGUACUGAAGAGGAUCAAGUAAAAAUGGACGCAAUGGACGUUGCACGUUUGUUCAACGAGGCCCAGCAUGCUCUAAAUCAGGUAAGUUCAAGGGCCACUAUCUUUUUAGGACUUUGAAUUGUAGAUAUCUCUAAUACUUUCUUCCUUUCCCGUAGCCUUCGAUGCUGCAUCAUGAGGCUUUUCUCCGAAUCUGAGAGGAACGCAAGUUAGAAGUCUAGGGUCUCACUGAGAAAUGCAAUACUUACAAGCUUCUUAGUGACAAGCUUCAGGUAGACGAGGCUCGAAAUGCGCAUGAAGAGAUCGUCGAGCAGGUAUUUUAAGUUCUUCAUGAUAGUGAGAACGAGUCGGAGAUAACAACUAACAAUCCCAUAUGCAGGUUCGAUAGAGCAGGCAUUCCAAGUUACUUCAAGGUGCACACCAUAAUGAAAUAAUUAAGAAAUCAAAAGGAAUUAGAAUAGACAGAAAAUACACUAAUGAAAAUGAAGAGGCAUACGACACAACAAAACUGAAAAGACAACAUAUUAAACAUAAAAUGAAGCCAGAGGAAAUAACCAAAAUACUUAGUUACCUCUUUCAAUUUAAAAUUCUAACACUUACCGUACCUCGAGAGAUCAAGUAAUUUUGAAUUUACCACCAAAAUCCAGAAUAAGACGAUGAUCAAGUCCAUUGCCUUAUCAUUCCAUACUUCUUCAACAAAUAAAAAAAAAUGAAAGGAGAAGAGGGACGUAUUUGGUGCUGACAAAAUAUUGCAACUUAGGCACAACAAAUCUAUGCAUAUCUAACGUUCAAAGAAAACAAAUUAAUAGCCAAAAGCACCAAAAAACAUAUAUAACGAUGGAAUUAAAGCUUACACAAAAAAGCUCUCCAUAUUAUUUUAGGCUCGUAAUAUUAUUUUUCAAUAGCUUACUAACUCAAGAAAAAUACAUUAAUAGUAACUCACUGUUGCAAUUAGCAAAUUGGCACCAAAAAUACACACAUGAUCGAUGCCUAAAAUCUUUAUGUGGCAAUGACCGGAUAAACUCCAAAUACUUUUGAGCCAAAAUGAGAAACUUCUUCUUUUUCGAAGAACAAAGGCGUAAUUUUUAUUCCCCACUGAAAGCGAAAGCCAAAGCUUAAUUAGGUGGUGUCUUCCUGUUUACUGGAAUAACAACAACAACAACAACAACUACCCAAUAUAGUCCCACAAAGUGGGAUCUGGGAAGGAUAAUAUAUAGACGAGUCUUACCCCUACCCGAAAGGGCAGAGAGUCUGUUUCCAAUACUGGAAUAUAUGUUCAUUUCUUGUGUGUUUCGAAUGUUUUCGACUUUCAACAUUACUGCCAAAUCAGUUUUAUGGUGUUGACGAAUAUUUAUUUAAAGUUGUGCACCAAUUAACACGGUUUAAUAACAUUAAUUAUAGGGAAGAAGAAAUAUAAUCAGAUUUGUGGACUUUAACGCUUUUUAAAGUAAACUUUGAAUAAGAAAAGACAGUUCGACCACGGGCCACUAUAAUUUAAAUCCAGUAGUUAUAACUUGUAACUGUAUAUUUCAGCAACUGAAGUGUUGCAACGGUUACAUUCUUUUUUGUUGGUAAAAUAUACGGAUAUUUAAUAGAAAAAUAACAAAAAAGGCAAAAAAUUGAGAAAAAAGAAAAAUAGCAUUCCUCGAUUGAUAGGCAUGCCACAUCAGAUUUCAAUUGCCCAUAUAUAUAUAUACACAUACAUAAAUACAUACAUGUGCCCAAAUGGAUGGACGAGUUUGGUUCGAGAGAAAAAAAAAACUUGAUACAAGCUCAACAUAAUGCUACCUCCCAAGCAGAAUUCAACCCCAAAUUCUGUAAUACAGGCUCGAUAAGGCAGAGUAAGUUGACAGAAUGUAAUGGCUAUUACAUACAUGGACAAUAUUAUGAUAUAACUAACAGUUCAAUAGAAAUAAAGUUACUUAUAUCUCUCACAAUUGGAGUAACAACUUGUAUGAUCCAACAAAACAUACAACUCUAUCCCACGUACCACAACUCAGCCAAAAAAAUAUUUCCAGAGGUAAAAGACAUAAGCUUAGGUUCCUCGAGGGGAAAAAACGAAAAAGUGCAGCUGAAUUGAGGUCUUGAAUCCAAAAUCAUGCUCACUUGUGCCCGCGGAAGUACAGGUAGACUUUCUGCAGUGACAGUACAUAAACAUUGUGAGAAGCAAAUGAAACUAACAAGAAAUAGUUGGCAGCCAACAACAUUUUCCCCCUUCUAAUCAAUUGUCAAAUGACGUAAUUGCAUAGGGAUUU
rnacentral:lncRNA from 1 species